rnacentral:rRNA from 1 species
UACAGAGGUCUCAAGCGUUGUUCGGAUUCAUUGGGCGUAAAGGGCUCGUAGGCGGCCAACUAAGUCAGACGUGAAAUCCCUCGGCUUAACCGGGGAACUGCGUCUGAUACUGGAUGGCUUGAGUUUGGGAGAGGGAUGCGGAAUUCCAGGUGUAGCGGUGAAAUGCGUAGAUAUCUGGAGGAACACCGGUGGCGAAGGCGGCAUCCUGGACCAACACUGACGCUGAGGAGCGAAAGCCAGGGGAGCAAACGGG